GACGAACGCUGGCGGCGUGCUUAACACAUGCAAGUCGAACGGAAAGGCCCUGCUUUUGUGGGGUGCUCGAGUGGCGAACGGGUGAGUAACACGUGAGUAACCUUCCCUUUACUUUGGGAUAACUUCAGGAAACUGGGGCUAAUACCGGCUAGGAGCUCCUGCUGCAUGGUGGGGGUUGGAAAGUUUCGGCGGUUGGGGAUGGACUCGCGGCUUAUCAGCUUGUUGGUGGGGUAGUGGCUUACCAAGGCUUUGACGGGUAGCCGGCAUGAGAGGGUGACCGGCCACAUUGGGACUGAGAUACGGCGCAGACUCCUACGGGAGGCAGCAGUGGGGAAUAUUGCACAAUGGGCGGAAGCCUGAUGCAGCAACGCCGCGUGCGGGAUGACGGCCUUCGGGUUGUAAACCGCUUUAGCCUGUGACGAAGCGUGAGUGACGGUAAUGGGUAAAGAAGCACCGGCUAACUACGUG
rnacentral:rRNA from 1 species